rnacentral:rRNA from 1 species
CCUACGGGAGGCAGCAGUGAGGAAUAUUGGUCAAUGGACGAGAGUCUGAACCAGCCAAGUAGCGUGAAGGAUGACUGCCCUAUGAGUUGUAAACUUCUUUUAUAUGGGAAUAAACUGUUCCACGUGUGGGAUUUUGUAUGUAUCAUAUGAAUAAGGAUCGGCUAACUCCGUGCCAGCAGCCGCGGUAAUACGGAGGAUCCGAGCGUUAUCCGGAUUUAUUGGGUUUAAAGGGAGCGUAGGUGGACUGAUAAGUUAGUUGUGAAAGUUUGAGGCUCAACGUCAAAAUUGCAGUUGAAACUGGCAGUCUAGAGAACAGUAGAGGUGGGCGGAAUGCGUGGUGUAGCGGUGAAAUGCUUAGAGAUCACACAGAACACCGAUUGCGAAGGCAGCUCACUAGGCUGCAACUGACACUGAGGCACGAAAGUGUGGGGAUCAAACAGGAUUAGAUACCCUAGUAGUC